rnacentral:rRNA from 1 species
CCUACGUGGUGUAGCAGUAGGGAAUAUUGCUCAAUGGGGGAAACCCUGAAGCAGCAACGCCGCGUGGAGGAUGAAGGUUUUCGGAUUGUAAACUCCUUUUGUUAGAGAAGAUAAUGACGGUAUCUAACGAAUAAGCACCGGCUAACUCCGUGCCAGCAGCCGCGGUAAUACGGAGGGUGCAAGCGUUACUCGGAUUCACUGGGCGUAAAGAGCGCGUAGACGGGAUAGCAAGGCAGAUGUGAAAUCCUAGGGCUUAACCAUAGAACUGCAUUUGAAACUGGUAUUCUAGAGUUUGGGAGAGGUAGGUGGAAGUCUUGGUGUAGGGGUGAAAUGCGUAGAGAUCAAGAGGAAUACUCAUUGCGAAGGCGACCUGCUAGAACAUAACUGACGCUGAUGCGCGAAAGCGUGGGGAGCAAACAGGAGUAGAUACCCCAGUAGUC